AGUCGAACGAAGCGCUUAAUGGAUUCUUCGGAUUGAAGUUUUUGUGAGUGAGUGGCGGACGGGUGAGUAACGCGUGGGUAACCUGCCUCAUACAGGGGGAUAACAGUUAGAAAUGACUGCUAAUACCGCAUAAGCGCACAGUGCUGCAUGGCACAGUGUGAAAAACUCCGGUGGUAUGAGAUGGACCCGCGUCUGAUUAGCUAGUUGGUGGGGUAACGGCCUACCAAGGCGACGAUCAGUAGCCGGCCUGAGAGGGUGAACGGCCACAUUGGGACUGAGACACGGCCCAAACUCCUACGGGAGGCAGCAGUGGGGAAUAUUGCACAAUGGGGGAAACCCUGAUGCAGCGACGCCGCGUGAGCGAAGAAGUAUUUCGGUAUGUAAAGCUCUAUCAGCAGGGAAGAAAAUGACGGUACCUGACUAAGAAGCACCGGCUAAAUACGUGCCAGCAGCCGCGGUAAUACGUAUGGUGCAAGCGUUAUCCGGAUUUACUGGGUGUAAGGGAGCGUAGACGGUUGUGUAAGUCUGAUGUGAAAGCCCGGGGCUCAACCCCGGGACUGCAUUGGAAACUAUGUAACUAGAGUGUCGGAGAGGUAAGCGGAAUUCCUAGUGUAGCGGUGAAUGCGUAGAUAUUAGGAGGAACACCAGUGGCGAAGGCGGCUUACUGGACGAUCACUGACGUUGAGGCU
rnacentral:rRNA from 1 species